GGCUGUAGCUCAGUGGUAAAGCACCUGCCUCGCAUGCUUGAGGUCCUGGGUUCGAUCCUCAACACCA
rnacentral:tRNA from 1 species